rnacentral:lncRNA from 1 species
UGAGGAGGUCAUGAGUUCGACCCUAAUCGGCCCCAUUAUAUUUUUGGCUUCUAACCAAUAAAAUUCCAAUACCGGCUCUGGGUCCACCCCCUUGCUCUUUGGACAAAUAACCUUACUUCGACGCCCCUCGAUGCAUUUUAUUUAAUUCACAUUAUUAAUCUUGUUAGGAAAGAAGUCCCACCUCGGUUAGACAGAAAAAAAGAAUAUAAAUCAUGCUCUAUAUAUAGUCAUUCAUAAUUAGAUCGAUGGGUAGAGAAUUUUGGCUUUUUGAUAGGGCUUAAAGCAUCUAUGGUGUUAAUAAUUCGGGUACCCAUCG